rnacentral:rRNA from 1 species
UCCUACGGGAAGCAGCAGUGGGGAAUAUUGCACAAUGGGCGCAAGCCUGAUGCAGCGACGCCGCGUGAGGGAUGACGGCCUUCGGGUUGUAAACCUCUUUCAGUACCGACGAAGCGCAAGUGACGGUAGGUACAGAAGAAGCACCGGCCAACUACGUGCCAGCAGCCGCGGUAAUACGUAGGGUGCGAGCGUUGUCCGGAAUUACUGGGCGUAAAGAGCUCGUAGGCGGUUUGUCGCGUCGUCUGUGAAAACCCGCAGCUCAACUGCGGGCUUGCAGGCGAUACGGGCAGACUUGAGUACUGCAGGGGAGACUGGAAUUCCUGGUGUAGCGGUGAAAUGCGCAGAUAUCAGGAGGAACACCGGUGGCGAAGGCGGGUCUCUGGGCAGUAACUGACGCUGAGGAGCGAAAGCGUGGGUAGCGAACAGGAUUAGAUACCCUGGUAGUCCACGCCGUAAACGGUGGGCGCUAGGUGUGGGUUUCCUUCCACGGGAUCCGUGCCGUAGCUAACGCAUAAGCGCCCUCGUACAGGGGAAAAUCGCCCACGC